CUUGCUGAUCUCUGCCGCGUCCUCUGGCUCGCCGGCGGCGGCGCGCGCUGAACGGGCUGGUGCGAGAGGAUGACGACCAGUGCCGGCGAGAGGAGGUGCGGCCAUCACGGCGGCCGUUCGUGAGCGCGGUGGCUAGGUUUGCGGUGCAGCUGGAGAUCGAUUCAGUUUGAGAUGGCCAAGAUCCACAUGGCACGGGUGAUGACUAGUCUCCACCCACAACGAAGAAUGGGUUGAAACCGAAGUUCCUUUCUCUGGUUUAGUUCGGUUCAGGUGGAGAUAGCAUCUAGUUCGGUUUAGUUUGGUUGAAAGGCCAUUCUGAGUGGGUUAGUUUGAACUUGGAUGGCAAAAGUUAUCCAGAUAGGUUUGGUUUGGAUUCAGUUUACUUAUCCAACCAUUGCCAGGCCUACCUAUCGCUCACGCCCGGAACAAGCCCCGUAAAACAACCGUUCUCCCUCACGUCCCCGUACGGGAAAACCUUCCUCUAAUCCUCGAUUGCUCGAAUUUCCAUCGCCUCUAACCUCCCCCGCCAUACCCUACACGUGCCCCCAUCCCCACCCUCGCCUCGGCCGCCGCCCCUCUCCCCCACACGAAUAGAGAGGCACGGGUAGACUACGAACUCCGACGUCAUUCCCCGCUGUUGAGGAGCUCGGCGACGAGGUCUGACCGUGGGGCGCCGUAGGAGGAGGGAAGGUCGAGAGCUCGGAAGCCGGCGUCAUGUGCGGCGGCAAGGGACGGGCCGGCCAGCGGUUCGAGGAGGCGGAAGCGAGGGGUCCGAGCCCCCCUCUCUCUCCACAAGCGCCACCUUCAGCGAACAUCCAAACAAGCAAGAAAGGCAUUUAUUCAGCAGGAUAAUGAGUUAUCCGAAAUGAGGCAGAGACUGCAAGCACAUGCUGAUUAUAUGUGGGAGUUGAGAAUGCAAACAAAAUAGCUGUUUGCGAAUGUUGAGGAUCGAAGAGAGAAGCUUUGCGUCAAGAUCAGAAUGCUGACAGUAGCAGAGCUGUCAGCGCAGCACGAAGUAAACUAGCUACGGGUAUUCAAUUGUGUGUGUGAGAUUGAGAAAUGGUAAUUGCUAUAUGCAUCCUGCAAUGUGGGAUGCAAGUAUCAUGUAGUGAUGUAGACAGGUGAACCAUCAAUGCUGAACAUUGUGUAUUUUGUUCUGGUUUAGUUAAUUCUUGCCAAUUUUGCCUCAUGUAUCUGUAGGUAUAAGAUUUAAAUGUUCUUUGUGUGCAUGGUUGAUUCAUAUUUUA